rnacentral:rRNA from 1 species
GAUUAACGCUAGCGGGAGGCAUAACACAUGCAAGUCGAGGGGCAUCGCGAGUAGCAAUACUUGGCGGCGACCGGCAGACGGGUGCGCAACGCGUAUGCAACCUACCUUAUGCUGGAGGAUAAUUCGGUGAAAAUCGGACUAAUACUUCAUAAUAAUAUCGUUAUGGCAUCAGAGGAUAUUUAAAGAUUUAUCGGCAUUAGAUGGGCAUGCGUAUCAUUAGGUUGUUGGCGAGGUAACGGCUCACCAAGCCUACGAUGAUUAGGGGUUCUGAGAGGAUUCACCCCCACACCGGCACUGAGACACGGGCCGGACUCCUACGGGAGGCAGCAGUGAGGAAUAUUGGACAAUGGGCGAGAGCCUGAUCCAGCCAUUCCGCGUGCAGGAUGACGGUCCUAUGGAUUGUAAACUGCUUUUUUACAAGAGCAAAAAGGGUUACGUGUAUCCCAUUGAGAGUACUGUAAGAAUAAG